UCGUGCGCAAUUAAAUAAGAGUGUAUGGUGAAUGCCUUGACACCAAAAGACGAAGAAGGACGUGGCAGGGUGCGAUAAGCCUCGGCGAGCUCCCAAGCAAGCUUUGACCCGAGGAUCUCCGAAUGGGGGAACCCGGCUUUGACGUAAGUCAAAGUCAUCUUAUACUGAAUUCAUAGGUGUAAGAAGAAGACCUGGCGAAGUGAAACAUCUCAGUAGCCAGAGGAAAAUAAAUCGAAGAGAUUCCCUUAGUAGUGGCGAGCGAAAAGGGAAAAGUCUAAACUAUAUAAAUGUUUUUGUGGUAAUAGGUUGGUCUUCGGAUUAACUUUGAACUGCAAUUUAAAGGACAGACCGUUGUUUAUAUAGGGUAAUAAGACAGUAGUGUCGACUUUCUGUAUGUCGAGUGAGAAAUUGAUUCUUAGUAAAAUGUUCUGGAAAGGACAACCAAAGAAGGUAACAGUCCUGUAUAUUAAAAGAAUCAGCUAUCAUUGCUAUUGUUCUUGAGUAAGACGGAACUCGUGAAAUUCCGUCUGAAAUCGGGCCGACUAUGGUCUAAGACUAAAUACUUUUGGUGAUCGAUAGUGGACAAGUACCACGAGGGAAAGGUGAAAAGUAGCCCGGUGAGGGCGAUGAAAUAGUAUCUGAAACCGUACACUUACAAAGAGCGGGAGCCCGCAAGGGUGACCGUGUUCCUAUUGAAGAAUGAGCCUGCGAGUAUGUUGUGUGUCGCAAUGCUUAAGCCCCUCUGGGGCGGAGGCGCAGCGAAAGCGAGUCUUAACCGGCGUUAAGUGGCACGCAUAUAACCCGAAACCGGGUGAGCUAUCCAUGACCAGGAUGAACCCUUUAGAAAUAAAGGGGGAGGUCCGAACUCACGAGCCGUGCAACACUCGGAGAUGAGUUGUGGAUGGGAGAGAAAUUCUAAUCGAACUCGGUGAUAGCUGGUUUUCCUCGAAAUAUAUCUAGGUAUAGCCUUAAGUGUUCCUGCUGGUGGUAGAGCACUGGAUGAGAAUUGGGUCCUUCGGGAUACCGUUUUUAAUCAAACUCCGAAUACCAGUAGCCAAAACUUAGGAGACAGGCAGUGGGGGCUAAGCUUCAUUGCCAAAAGGGGAACAGCCCAGAUCGCUAGCUAAGGUCCCUAAAUCCAUAUUAAGUGUAACGAAGGUGGUUUUAAUUCUCAAACAACCAGGAGGUUGGCUUAGAAGCAGCCAUCCUUUAAAGAAAGCGUAACAGCUCACUGGUCAAGAGUUUUAGCGCCGAAAAUGUACGGGACUAAAAUAUGGUACCGAAGCUGCGAACUUUAUUAUUCCUUCGGGAAUAGUAAAUUGGUAGAGGAAUGUUCUUUAUGCGCUGAAGCCGUAGGCGUGAGCCGCGGUGGAGUGUAAAGAAGUAAGAAUGCAGGCAUAAGUAGCAAAAAGGCAGGUGCGAAUCCUGCCCGCCGAAAAUCCGAGGUUUCCUGGGCAACGCGAAUCGUCCCAGGGUUAGUCGGUCCUAAGGCCAGGCCGAAAGGCGUAACCGAUGGAAGAGCUGGUUAAUAUUCCAGCACUGUGCAUAGUUUGGUUUUUAUUGCACAUCUUUAAGCUUUUAGCGUAUUUUGGUUAUAUACGUAUCGCAAGAUGGAGACAAAUCCUUCGGGUGGAGUCAACUAAGAGUAGCGAGGUGUCUAGAAAAGGUAAAAAUCGUUAAGCUAUGUAUAACCGUACCGUAAACCGACACAGGUGGAUAGGUCGAGUAGACCAAGGCGCAUGAGAGAACCCUCGUUAAGGAACUCUGCAAUACAACGGCCGUAACUUCGGGAUAAGGCCUGCCCAUAGCAAUAUGGGCUACAACAAAAGACCAGCUGCGACUGUUUACCAAAAACACAGCUCCCUGCUAAAUCGUAAGAUGAUGUAUAGGGGGUGAUGCCUGGCCAGUGUCAGAACGUUAAAGGGAGAGGUUAAUCGCAAGAUGAAGCCUUGAGCUGAAGCGCUGAUGAACGCCGGCGGUAACUAUAACCGUCCUAAGGUAGUGGAUUCAAACAUUGAGUUCACUAGGAUUGGGACGGAUAUAGCAAAUAGUAAACAGUACCAAAAAUAAUUACCAUUGCAGAUAAUUGUUUUUACAAGCCAUUUAAAAAAGCUGCCUUAUUUUAUAGCAAUAUAAAAUAUAAUCCGAUCAUAGCUAUAUGCUGGGAAAACCUGAAUGCGAAUUCAGGAAGAUCAGCAGGGAAGGCCAACAAUGUGUUGGAACCCUCAGAGACUAAACGCUAUGCCCCCGCCUCUCUCGAGAAUCGGGGUGAAGAUAGAGUCCAUUGUAGAGGAAUCAAUAAGCGAAAUUCCUUGUCGGGUGAGUUCCGACCCGCACGAAUGGCAUAACGAUGGCUGGACUGUCUCAACGAGGGACUCAGUGAAAUUGCAAGGGAGGUGAAGAUGCCUCCUACCCGCAACUAGACGAAAAGACCCCGUGAAGCUUUACUACAAUUUGAUAUUGGUAUAAGAAUAAAUAUGUUGAGAGUAGGUGGGAGCCGCAAGGCGACGAUGAGACACCACCCUUACUUGUUUUUAUGCCUAAUUUUCCGACAUGAAUCUGCCGGAGAAGACAGUGUCUGAUGGGUAGUUUAACUGGGGCGGUUGCCUCCUAAAAUGUAACGGAGGCGUUUACAAAGGUCAGCUUAGCUCGGAUGGAAAUCGAGCUGGACGCGCAAACGCAAAAGCUGGCUUUACUGCAAGAGUCACAACUCGAGCAGUUACGAAAGUAGAAGUUAGUGAACCGACCACCUCAAAUAGGAGAGUGGAAGAUCAACGGAUAAAAGCUACUCCGGGGAUAACAGGCUGAUCGGACCCGAUAGUCCUUAUAGACGGUCCGGUUUGGCACCUCGAUGUCGGCUCAUCGCAUCCUGGGACUGAAGAAGGCCCCAAGGGUUUGGCUGUUCGCCAAUUAAAGCGGUACGCGAGCUGGGUUCAGAACGUCGUGAGACAGUUCGGUCUCCUAUCUGUUGCGGGCGUAGAAUGUUGAGAAGGCUCUUUCCUAGUACGAGAGGACCGGAAAGAACAAAUCUCUGGUGUACCAGUUGUCCUACCAAGGGCAUUGCUGGGUAGCUAUUAUUUGGCACGGAUAAACGCUGAAAGCAUAUAAGCGUGAAGCCGUCUUCAAGAUUAACAUUCGUUACAGACCCCUCGUAGACUACGAGGUUGAUAGGCUCUAUGUGUAAGCAUCGUAAGAUGUUAAGCUGAGGAGUACUAAUCGGUCGAGCGCACGAAA
rnacentral:rRNA from 1 species